rnacentral:rRNA from 1 species
GAUGAACGCUGGCGGCGUGCCUAAUACAUGCAAGUCGAGCGAACAGACGAGGAGCUUGCUCCUCUGACGUUAGCGGCGGACGGGUGAGUAACACGUGGAUAACCUACCUAUAAGACUGGGAUAACUUCGGGAAACCGGAGCUAAUACCGGAUAAUAUAUUGAACCGCAUGGUUCAAUAGUGAAAGACGGUUUUGCUGUCACUUAUAGAUGGAUCCGCGCCGCAUUAGCUAGUUGGUAAGGUAACGGCUUACCAAGGCGACGAUGCGUAGCCGACCUGAGAGGGACGCAGGCAACACGGAAAGGGAGACAGACCCAGCACCCCGGGGGGGAGAACAGGUAGGAAUUCUUCGGGGAGGGAGAAGGGCGUAACGGAGCACAGCGGGGGGAGGCAUGAAGGUCUCAGGACGGAAAAACGAUGUAGUAAGGAAGAAAGAAAAGUUGAUUAACGUAGGCAGAUAAGGAGGGUACAAAAAGAAAAAGCCACGGCUAACUCCGUG